rnacentral:rRNA from 1 species
UACGAAGGGGGCUAGCGUUGCUCGGAAUCACUGGGCGUAAAGGGUGCGUAGGCGGGUCUUUAAGUCAGGGGGGAAAUCCUGGAGCUCAACUCCAGAACUGCCUUUGAUACUGAGGAUCUUGAGUAUGGGAGAGGCGAGUGGAACUGCGAGUGUAGAGGUGAAAUUCGUAGAUAUUCGCAAGAACACCAGUGGCGAAGGCGGCUCACUGGCCCAUUACUGACGCUGAGGCACGAAAGCGUGGGGAGCAAACAGG